rnacentral:rRNA from 1 species
GAUGAACGCUGGCGGCGUGCCUAAUACAUGCAAGUCGAGCGAACAGACGAGGAGCUUGUUCCUUUGACGGUAGCGGCGGGCGGGUGAGUAACGUGUGGAUAAUCCACCUAUAAGACUGGGAUAAUUUCGGGAAACCGGAGCAAAUACCAUAUAAUAUAUUGUACCGCAUGGUUCAAUGGUUAAUGUCGGCUUUGCUGUCACUAAUAGAGGGAUUCGGGCUGCAUUGGAUGGUUGGUAGGGUAACGGCCUACCAAGGCGACGAUGCGUAGCCGACCGGAGAGGGUGAUCGGCCACACUAGAGCUGAAACACGGUCCAGACGCCUACGGUAGGCAGCAGUAGGGUAUCGUACGCAAUGGGCGGAAGCCUGGCGGAACGACGCCGAGUGGGUGAUAGAAGUCUUCGGAUCGUGAUGCUCUGUUAUUGGGGAAAAACAAAUGUGUAAGUAACUAUGGACGUCUUGACGGUACCUAAUCAAGAAGCACCGGCUAACUACGUG